rnacentral:rRNA from 1 species
AGUGAACGCUGGCGGUAGGCCUAACACAUGCAAGUCGAACGGCAGCACAGUAAGAGCUUGCUCUUACGGGUGGCGAGUGGCGGACGGGUGAGGAAUACAUCGGAAUCUACUUUUUCGUGGGGGAUAACGUAGGGAAACUUACGCUAAUACCGCAUACGACCUACGGGUGAAAGCAGGGGAUCUUCGGACCUUGCGCGAUUGAAUGAGCCGAUGUCGGAUUAGCUAGUUGGCGGGGUAAAGGCCCACCAAGGCGACGAUCCGUAGCUGGCCUGAGAGGAUGAUCAGCCACACUGGAACUGAGACACGGUCCAGACUCCUACGGGAGGCAGCAGUGGGGAAUAUUGGACAAUGGGCGCAAGCCUGAUCCAGCCAUACCGCGUGGGUGAAGAAGGCCUUCGGGUUGUAAAGCCCUUUUGUUGGGAAAGAAAAGCAGCAGGUUAAUACCCCGCUGUUCUGACGGUACCCAAAGAACAAGCACCGGCUAACUUCGU